CCAGAGGGUCGGGCGGCCGCGUUUCGCUUCGGCGGAACGAGGAAAGUCCGGGCUCCACGGAAAAGCGGUGCCGGGUAACGCCCGGCGGGGGCGACCCCAGGGACAGUGCAACAGAAAGCAGGUCGCGCCGGGCUUCGGCCCAAAAUCUUCGGAGGCGUGACAGUGAAAGGGUGCGGUAAGAGCGCACCGCGGCUCCGGCAACGGCAGCCGGCAUGGUAAACCCCACCGGGAGCAAGACCGAAUAGGGACGGCAUAUGGGGAAUUUCCGCCCCGGUCGUCCGGGUUGGUUGCUUGAGGGACGGAGCAAUCCGUCUCCUAGAGGAAUGGCCGCACAGGCGGAGCGACCGCAAGGCCGCCCUGCCGGACAGAACCCGGCUUAUAGACCCUCUGGCAUU
rnacentral:RNase_P_RNA from 1 species